AGUUUAAUCAUUCUGUCUAGCUAGCCAACACAUGCUAGAGAUGCACUAAUUCCCCUCUGCGGCAUUUCCCUCUUUCUAUCUUUGUCUUUCCUCCUGCUUAAUUGAACUCAGUAGCUGACCGACUCUCCACAGAGCAGCAUGUUUGUCUGCUCUACUACCCACUUCAAAAAUAUUCCUAGCAAUCCCAUCAAUUUCGCUGAUUAUGUGCAAAAGUUACUUGCCAAGGGUACAUUUUAUUCCCUCACAAUUAUAUUUUCUCUCAUUAAUUCUUCAUUUGUUCUUUAGGAGAAAAAUGAUCAUUUGAAAAAUAGAAAAAAAUUGGGCAAUACAUAUUCAAUAUUUCUAUAAGAGGUUGAUUUGAAGAGUGGGAGUAUCUCAACCCUCAUCAACAGUCACCUUAUCACAAUUUGCGGACGUUGCAAAGGAGGCCAACACAGUCCACUCUCGGCGGUCUUCUGAGGCUCAAGCCAAGAGCAUAAAGCUCCCAGUGCUAGGCGCCAUGCGCCAUGCUUGGCAACUUAUGACCAGCCCUCUGUAAAGUGUGGCUCAAUGACUUCACCACUAAGAAUGGCUCAAAUGCUACCUUGCUUCGACACAGAGCAAAUGAUCCAGAUUUUCCACAGUUCUUUCCGUCUUAGACAAACCAUGGAGUGGAAAGGUCAGAACUAAAUGUUUUCAGUUACCAGAUAUCUUCACCUUCUAGCCAAAGUAUCACAAGUACCAUUCGUGCCAAGGCACUUUGAGGCCGAACCUCUCAAACUUGUCCAAUUUCUAAGAAAGAAACUAAUAGACAGAAUCACUUGAAAAUGUUUCAUCAUACAUAUUUUUUAAUCAAGAUUAAUCCCUGAAAUUGUUAGGAAAAUAUAAGCCAAAGCUUUAAUGAAAAAUGAAUAAAAAUAUUUAGAUGUCCAGUAACAUAGCGUCCAAUUGUACACUAAUGCUCAUGGCACUUAGGUCGGAAGGUGACAAAAUUGCAAGAAAACUCUCUGGAAGCACCAUUAUUUCCCAUAUAAUGUUCAAUCUUCAAAAUUUUGCAUCUUGAAUCUCAGGAUAAUAUAGCUACCAAAAUUUUUUUACACAUAUAUAGAGCCCCUCCUAAGCAUAUUGAGGUGGGGAAUAAUUUCAUUUUUCCAAAAAUGUUAGAUACGACCCUUUUACUCAAAGUUUCUGCUAUGAUCAUUCACAUAGGUAUUACAGCAUUUUAAAUUUC